UACAGAGGUCUCAAGCGUUGUUCGGAUUCAUUGGGCGUAAAGGGUGCGUAGGUGGCACAGUAAGUCGGGUGUGAAAUCCUGAGGCUUAACCUCGGAACUGCAUUCGAUACUGCCGUGCUUGAGGACUGGAGAGGAGGCUGGAAUUUACGGUGUAGCGGUGAAAUGCGUAGAUAUCGAGAGGAACACCUGCGGCGAAGGCGGGUUGCUGGGCUGACACUGACGCUGAAGCGCGAAAGCUAGGGGAGCGAACGGG
rnacentral:rRNA from 1 species